rnacentral:rRNA from 1 species
CUACGGGACGCUGCAGUGGGGAAUAUUGGACAAUGGGGGAAACCCUGAUCCAGCAAUGCCGCGUGUGUGAAGAAGGCCUGCGGGUUGUAAAGCACUUUCGGUUGGGAGGACUGCUUCUAGCACUAAUAUUGUUGGAAGUUGACGUUACCUUCAGAAGAAGCACCGGCUAACUCCGUGCCAGCAGCCGCGGUAAUACGGAGGGUGCAAGCGUUAAUCGGAAUUACUGGGCGUAAAGCGCGCGUAGGCGGCUAGAUCAGUCGGGUGUGAAAGCCCCGGGCUUAACCUGGGAACUGCAUCCGAUACUGUCUAGCUUGAGUACAGGAGAGGAGAGUGGAAUUCCACAUGCAGCGGUGAAAUGCGUAGAUAUGUGGAGGAACACCAAUGGCGAAGGCAGCUCUCUGGCCUGAUACUGACGCUGAGGUGCGAAAGCGUGGGGAGCGAACAGGAUUAGAUACCCCGGUAGUC